rnacentral:rRNA from 1 species
GAUGAACGCUGGCGGCGUGCCUAAUACAUGCAAGUCGAGCGAACGGACGAGAAGCUUGCUUCUCUGAUGUUAGCGGCGGACGGGUGAGUAACACGUGGAUAACCUACCUAUCAGACUGGGAUAACUUCGGGAAACCGUAGCUAAUACCGGAUAAUAUUUUGAACCGCAUGGUUCAAAAGUGAAAGACGGUCUUGCUGUCACUUAUAGAUGGAUCCGCGCUGCAUUAGCUAGUUGGUAAGGUAACGGCUUACCAAGGCAACGAUGCAUAGCCGACCUGAGAGGGUGAUCGGCCACACUGGAACUGAGACACGGUCCAGACUCCUACGGGAGGCAGCAGUAGGGAAUCUUCCGCAAUGGGCGAAAGCCUGACGGAGCAACGCCGCGUGAGUGAUGAAGGUCUUCGGAUCGUAAAACUCUGUUAUUAGGGAAGAACAUAUGUGUAAGUAACUGUGCACAUCUUGACGGUACCUAAUCAGAAAGCCACGGCUAACUACGUG